AGGAAUGUAUGGAAAAACUCAAUUAGGUCAGAAAAUGAUUAAUAUGGAUUUAUGCUUGAGUCUCCCUGCAAGUUGUCACCCAGGUUGGACCAAUCUUGCAUUCCUGAGAAAAAUUCCACUUGUAAUGAUUCUUUAUUAUAUCUGGCUUCAAGAUUAUCUAUCACAGAUGUCAUUGUACAUGAUUUUGGAGUUUUUGUCAUCUCAAUUCUACAUGGAGCAAAAUUAACAUCCUUUUUUUUUUAAUUUUAUCUUAAGAAGAUUUGAAGAUUUCUCAAAAUGAACUUUUUCUUGAAGGAAGCUUGUUCUAAAUGGAAUCAAACAAAUAAAACUUAAAUGAAGCUCUUAAAGAAUAACUUAUUGUUAUGAAUACUAAAUAGUAGAUUAAACAGCUCUACAAUGAUCAGAAGUCUGCAACUGAGAAGCCCUUCUGCUACUAACAGCAAUGUUUUUGGGUUCAAAAAAUAUUCUGAGCUUUCUCUGACCAAUAAUGUAAGUAGAUGUGGUAUUGGAGUGUGUAUUCAUUUCCUAGGGCUACUGUAACAAAGUAUCCCAAGUUGGGUGGCUUUAAACAACAGAAAUUUAUUGUCUAUAGUUCUGGAGGCUGGAAGUCCAAAAUCAAAGUUUCAGCAGUGCCGUGCUCCCUCCAAAACCUGUAGAAGAAUCCUUCCCUGAUUCUUUCUAGUUUCUGGUGCUUUGCUGGCAAUCUGUGGUGUUCCUUUACUUGUAGCUGUCAAGGAACUCCAAUCCUGUCUUCACAUGGCAUUCUCCCUGUCUAUGUCUUUAUGUGGCCAUCUUCUUAUGAGGAUACCAGUUAUAUUGUAUUGGGAGGCCACCCUAUGCCAGCACCUCAUCUGAACUAAUUACAUCUGUAACCAUACUAUUUCCAAAUAAGGUCACAUUCUGAGGUGCUGGGGGUUAGGACUUCAACAUUUCUUUUGUGGGGGACCUAAUUCAAUUAAUAACAGGGUGCAUCUGCCCUAAGUUCCUAAUUCUGAUGCAUCUCUGGUUUAAAAAAUAAAUCUUGGAAAUAUGGUUGGUUAUAUAGCUGUUCCUUGGUAAAAUUUUCACUGCUGUUUCCUUCCUUUUUUUUUUUUUUCUGAUAUCUUUGUAUAAAUUCUGAUCUGGUUAUAAAGUUCUGACAUAGUUAACAAUGUGAUUUUUCUUAAAAAUGCCAAAUUAUCUUGUUACACAUCAUAAUGCUUUUUCAGAAGCAAGCGAUCAUGGUUAUUAAAU